rnacentral:rRNA from 1 species
AGAGUUUGAUCCUGGCUCAGAACAAACGCUGGCGGCGUGCCUAACACAUGCAAGUCGAACGAGAAAUCCCGAGCUUGCUUGGGAGAGUAAAGUGGCGCACGGGUGAGUAACGCGUGGGUAACCUACCUUUGAAUCUGGAAUAACCAGCCGAAAGGCUGACUAAUACCGGAUACGGUUUUUAGGACUUAGGUUCUCUAAAUUAAAGGUGACCUCUUCAUGAAAGUUGCCGUUCAUAGAUGGGCCCGCGUACCAUUAGCUAGUUGGUGGGGUAAUGGCCUACCAAGGCACGAUGGUUAGCUGGUCUGAGAGGAUGAUCAGCCACACUGGAACUGGAACACGGUCCAGACUCCUACGGGAGGCAGCAGUGAGGAAUUUUGCGCAAUGGGGGAAACCCUGACGCAGCAACGCCGCGUGAGCGAAGAAGGCCCUCGGGUCGUAAAGCUCUGUCAAGUGGGAAAAAAAUCUUUUGAUCAAUAGUCAAAAGACUUGAUGGUACCACUGGAGGAAGCACCGGCUAACUCCGUGCCAGCAGCCGCGGUAAUACGGAGGGUGCAAGCGUUGUUCGGAUUUACUGGGCGUAAAGAGCGUGUAGGCGGUUUAGCAAGUCAGAUGUGAAAGCCCUGGGCUCAACCCGGGAAGUGCAUUGAAACUGCUUCACUAGAGUAUGGGAGAGGAGAUUGGAAUUCCUGGUGUAGAGGUGAAAUUCGUAGAUAUCAGGAGGAACACCCGUGGCGAAGGCGAUUCUCUGGACCAAUACUGACGCUGAGACGCGAAAGCGUGGGGAGCAAACAGGAUUAGAUACCCUGGUAGUCCACGCCGUAAACGAUGAGAACUAGGUGUAGUGGGUAUUGUCCCCUGCUGUGCCGAAGUUAACGCAUUAAGUUCUCCGCCUGGGGAGUACGGCCGCAAGGCUAAAACUCAAAGGAAUUGACGGGGGCCCGCACAAGCGGUGGAGCAUGUGGUUUAAUUCGACGCAACGCGAAGAACCUUACCUGGGUUUGACAUCCUCUGAUCGUCUGGGAAACCAGAUUUUUCCGGCUUUGUCGGAACAGAGUGACAGGUGCUGCAUGGCUGUCGUCAGCUCGUGUCGUGAGAUGUUGGGUUAAGUCCCGCAACGAGCGUAACCCUUGUCUUUAGUUGCCAUUAUUAAGUUAGGCACUCUAAAGAGACUGCCUCGGUUAACGGGGAGGAAGGUGGGGAUGACGUCAAGUCCUCAUGGCCUUUAUAUCCAGGGCUACACACGUGCUACAAUGGGCUGUACAAAGGGUUGCUAUCCCGCGAGGGGGCGCUAAUCCCAAAAAGCAGUUCUCAGUUCGGAUUGAAGUCUGCAACUCGACUUCAUGAAGGUGGAAUCGCUAGUAAUCGUGGAUCAGCAUGCCACGGUGAAUACGUUCCCGGGCCUUGUAGACACCGCCCGUCACACCACGAAAGUCGACUGUACCAGAAGUUGCUGGGCUAACCUCUUCGGAGGAGGCAGGUACCUAAGGUACGGCCGGUAAUUGGGGUGAAGUCGUAACAAGGUA